rnacentral:lncRNA from 1 species
CAGGGGCUGAGAUGCGAGGGGAGGAAAGCAAGCUGAGUACAGGGAGGGAUGGUGGGGAGGGAAAGGCAGGGAUUCGGGGAGCUUUUCCCCAGCCCUAAGCCCUGUGCCUGCCUGCUCAGUGGGGAGAGGGAAGGGGGAAGGGAAAACUGGAGGGAGGCGAUCACAGAAACGCACUUUUCGGAGCAAAACGCAAAGCUUACCAUGUCUGCAGGCUUCCCCCAGCGAAAUGCCACUUAUGUGUCCAGCGAUCCCAAAGCGGGCAACUACAGGCAGGCACCGGAGCUCAUCUCAGCAGGCAGAUCAGCAACACACCACUGCCACCCCCAAAAAUCAAAAUCAAAAUAAAAAAGACCGGUCCAGCUUCUUUCUUGGCAAGAAUCGUCCCUGGUAGGACUGCCCAAAAUAAGCAGCUGCAAUCCAAAGGCUUUAUUUAAAGCUUCCCCCCUCCUCCUCCUCCUCUCCUUGCCUCGCUCUCUCUCUCCCUCUCUCUGUUACACACAGAGAGAAAGAGAGACACACACAGGUUACAUGAAUGGGAGGCAGGAGCCGGCGCUCCCGGGCUGGGAAUGACAGGCACACAUGCGGCCGGCUGCUGCGCACCGCGGGCGGCACGGGUCAGGAUAGGAGAGAAUACUUCUUGAUCCACUAUAUAUGACAGAAUGGCCACAAACAACUGUAAUACAAUACAUCUUCUGUACAACAGGCUAUAAGAGAAAGACAAUAUGUCUGACUGAUGAUGCAAAUUCAGAUGUGAUCAACCAUGCAGAGGAGAAUGGGAAGUACUUGGUGAACGCUACUGCAAAUGUGG